rnacentral:rRNA from 1 species
CCUACAGGGGGCAGCAGUGAGGAAUAUUGGGCAAUGGGGGCAACCCUGACCCAGCCAUGCCGCGUGAGUGAAGAAGGUCUUCGGAUUGUAAAGCUCUUUCGGACGUGACGAUGAUGACGGUAGCGUCUAAAGAAGCACCGGCAAACUUCGUGCCAGCAGCCGCGGUAAUACGGAGGAUGCGAGCGUUAUCCGGAUUUAUUGGGUUUAAAGGGUGCGUAGGCGGAUUUUUAAGUCAGCGGUAAAAUGUCCGGGCUCAACCCGGGCCGGCCGUUGAAACUGGGGAUCUUGAGUGGGCGAGAAGUAUG